rnacentral:rRNA from 1 species
CCCUGCCAUUUGUACACACCGCCCGUCGCACCUACCGAUUGGAUGGUUCGAUGAAAUCUCCGGACCGGGCGAUGCUGCCUUCCGGCGGCUCGCCUGGAAAGUUGAUUGAAUCUCACCAUCUAGAGGAAGGUGAAGUCGUAACAAGGUUUCCGU